GUGCUCCCUUCGGCAGCGCAUGUACUAAAAUGGGGCCAAUAUGGAGAAGAGUAGCAUAGUUCCUGCGCAAGGACAAUACGCACAUUCCUAAAGCGUUCCAUAUUAAA